GCCCUCUGGGUCCACCUCCCACCCGUGUUUAUCGUACCUUGUUGCUUCGGCGGGCCCGCCGCAAGGCCGCCGGGGGGCAUCUGCCCUCUGGCCCGCGCCCGCCGAAGACACCAUUGAACGCUGUCUGAAGAUUGCAGUCUGAGCAAUUAGUUAAAUAACUUAAAACUUUCAACAACGGAUCUCUUGGUUCCGGCAUCGAUGAAGAACGCAGCGAAAUGCGAUACGUAAUGUGAAUUGCAGAAUUCAGUGAAUCAUCGAGUCUUUGAACGCACAUUGCGCCCCCUGGUAUUCCGGGGGGCAUGCCUGUCCGAGCGUCAUUGCUGCCCUCAAGCACGGCUUGUGUGUUGGGCUCCGUCCUCCUUCCGGGGGACGGGCCCGAAAGGCAGCGGCGGCACCGCGUCCGGUCCUCGAGCGUAUGGGGCUUCGUCACCCGCUCUGCAGGCCCGGCCGGCGCUUGCCGACACAUCAAUCUUUUUUCCAGGUUGACCUCGGAUCAGGUAGGGAUACCCGCUGAACUUAAGCAUAUCAAUAAGCGGAGGAAAAGAAACCAACAGGGAUUGCCCCAGUAACGGCGAGUGAAGCGGCAAGAGCUCAAAUUUGAAAGCUGGCCCCCUCGGGGUCCGCAUUGUAAUUUGCAGAGGAUGCUUCGGGAGUGGCCCCCAUCUAAGUGCUCUGGAACGGGCCGUCAUAGAGGGUGAGAAUCCCGUAUGGGAUGGGGUGUCCGCGACCAUGUGAAGCUCCUUCGACGAGUCGAGUUGUUUGGGAAUGCAGCUCUAAAUGGGUGGUAAAUUUCAUCUAAAGCUAAAUAUUGGCCGGAGACCGAUAGCGCACAAGUAGAGUGAUCGAAAGAUGAAAAGCACUUUGAAAAGAGAGUUAAAAAGCACGUGAAAUUGUUGAAAGGGAAGCGCUUGCGACCAGACUCGCCUACGGGGUUCAGCCGGUAUUCGUACCGGUGUACUUCCCCGUGGGCGGGCCAGCGUCGGUUUGGGCGGCCGGUCAAAGGCCCUCGGAAUGUAACGCCUCUCGGGGCGUCUUAUAGCCGAGGGUGCCAUGCGGCCAGCCCGGACCG
rnacentral:rRNA from 1 species